GUGGCUAUAGCUCAGUUGGUAGAGCACCGGGUUGUGAUCUCGGUUGUCGCGGGUUCGAGUCCCGUUAGCCACC
rnacentral:tRNA from 1 species